AAAAAGGACUAACAAAAACAAACAAACAAAAAAUACAAAUCUAAGAGGAAAUGGAGAACGUAGGAUUAUACCAAGUAAAGAAAAACUGGAAUAUAGCAAGUUUUGAAUGAUGGUGCUAUCAAUAGUAAGAGGAACCACAAACUUCUCUAAAGCUUACUACAUACCAAGAACAUCCACUUAUUUUAGCCUUGUGAAGACGGUGCUAUUUCCAUCCUCAUUUUAAAGCAAAAGAAACAGAAGUUUCAGAGGUAACGCAAUUGGUUGAAGGUCACACAUCUAAUAAGAAAAAUAUGUAACCUGAGCCAUUAAUGAUUAUGCUAUACUGCAUUGCCAGAAUAAAAUAAAAAGAUAACUGGUCUUUAGCAGAUACUGCAGAAGAGAGCUGUCUGAUGAAACAAUAUUCAAUGCAGUCCUAAAUUAAGAAGGCCGAGGACACUGUAACGUUACAGAGACUAGACCAGCUUUUACUAUUGUAUUAUAAAUCUUACUCUUCCCUGAAUCUUCAAAUAAUGUCAGGAAAUUGUUAUUGAUUUAUAUCAUGGACUGAUACAGAGUGAACAUGGCAUCAAUCAUUGUGGAAAAUUUCACAAAAGGGUUGUUUUAAAAUGAAGUCUAAAAUAUGACACAAUUAUGUAUUAAUAGGAAACUCAGAGUAAAUCAGCUGGAAAUCAAUGGGCAGUACUCAGAAGAAGUACCACCUUUAGAUAUUAAAACUAAGAACAGCAGUUAGGGGGGAAAGAAAGUGUAAAUGAAACGAAUAGAUUUCUGUAAAAGCUCAACAUACCGAGCAAGCAGGCCAACUUAAAACUUAGUUAAUAAGAUUCUUCUCAAUUUUUCAAGUUUUAAGUUUAAUUUGACUUCCAUUCUUCCAACAAAAACCACACAGGAAAUGGAGAGAAUACUGAAAUGUUGUUAAUUUGCUGUUCUUACAGAAUAAAGAGUCAGCUUUCUCUUUUUCCACCAGGAAGAAUGAAAGACCUACCUAACUAGGGGCGUUUAUUCCUAAGAAACUCAAAGUGAUUUGUACUCUGCUGUGAUGUCUACCAGAAACAGUAAAAGGACCACACUGCACCAGAAGUUCAUGGCUUGAAGGGCACACAGAGGUCGGACAGCUUGAUGCCUUUCUCCUUUCCAGUGUUCGGAUUGGAUUACACUGUAUAAAUAUAUUCAGAGCAGAGGACAAGGAAAAGAAAUGGGUACAAAGAGGACAAAAGCUGUAUUUCUCACAUGCAAACAGGUUUUUCUGUGGAGAAGGACAUUCUAAUUCCCAAGAAGUCAAUUAACAAUGGACUCUCAGAGAUCUUCACAAAAAGGCUCAGGGUAGCCCCACUAUCUGGUAAAGCUGUUUAACACCUACUGUAAAGACGUCUAGGGAAAUGGGAUACUAGCAACCAAGACAAGUUUGAGGACACGUAUUUGUCCGCAUCACCACGGGCAGUUCCACUCUGCUUCCAGAGGAGGUUCCAUGCUCUUCCCUUCUAUGAAAGGACCUUUCUCUCUUGCUUCUUAUGAAUCUGGGGAGGUACACAUUCUUAGUGUACAAGAUCAGGUUUGACUUAUGUAUUCCCUUUCCUGUCUCAAACAAUAAACCAAAAAAAAAGUUUUGUUGAAAAAUUAUUUUCUCAAAUAAA